GGGGACGCUGGGCUUCGACGAACAUUGAAAAAUUAGAAUCGAACCGAAGCGCGGAAACUUCGUUAAAAUUCCGCAAAAGAAAAGUGCAAACUUUUCAUCUAAGUUACGAGCGCCAGCAAUGGCGUUUGCCUAACUUCUCCGAGAAUUUAUCUUGGAGCAUCCAAACGCUUGAUGCUCGCUAAGGCGAUCUUGGGUGUUAUAUCAGCGAGAUGCUUUCUUAUUGUUCCUGCCAAUAAGAAUUAAGACUAGUCAGGAUAGGUUAAAAAGUUUUCGCCAAGCUUCUACUUUUUAACCCAAAUUAAGCUUGGCUACGUUCGUAGCCGUUCUAAUUCGUAAACGCUUCGGAUGCGGGUUCAACUCCCGCCGUCUCCACAU
rnacentral:tmRNA from 1 species